UUGUAUAAUGGGUCAACGUCUUAUAUUCUGUAGCAAGGUUCACCGUAUAGGGGAGCCGCAGGGAAACCGAGUCUUAACUGGGCGUUACGUUGCAGGGUAUAGGCCCGAAACCCGGUGAUCUAUCCAUGGGCAGGUUGAAGGUUAGGUAACACUAACUGGAGGACCGAACCGACUAAUGUUGAAAAAUUAGCGGAUUACCUGUGGCUGGGGGUGAAAGGCCAAUCAAACCGGGAGAUAGCUGGUUCUCCCCGAAAGGUAUGUAGGUAGCGCCUCGUGAAUUCAUCUCCGGGGGUAGAGCACUGUUUCGGCUAGGGGGCCAUCCCGGCU
rnacentral:rRNA from 1 species